ACACGACUACAUUAGAUACCCCUGUAGUCCCAGCCCUAAACGAUGCGCGUUAGGUAUGUCGGUAACCACGUGUUACUGAUGUGCCGAAGAGAAAUCGUGAAACGCACCACCUGGGAAGUACGGUCGCAAGGCUGAAACUUAAAGGAAUUGGCGGGGGAGCACCACAACAGGUGGAGCCUGCGGUUUAAUUGGACUCAACGCCGGGAAGCUCACCGGAUAGGACAGCAGAAUGAUUGCCGGGCUGAAGACCCUGCAUGACUAGCUG
rnacentral:rRNA from 1 species